GAAGAACGCUGGCGGCGUGCUUAACACAUGCAAGUCGAACGGAGUGGCGAACGGAUGGGUAAAACGUGGGUGACCUGGCCUGCACUUCUGGAUAAGCCGGGGAAACUGGGUCUCAUACCGGAUAGUGGGGUAUGGGACAGCGGCCUAUCAGCUUGUUGGUGGGGUGAUGGCCUACCAAGGAUGCGACGGGUAGCCGGCCUGAGAGGUUGGACGUCCACAGUGGGACGGAGACACGGCCCAUACUCCUACGGGAGGCAGCAGUGGGUAAUAUUGCACAAUUGGCGGAAGCAUGAUGCAGCGACGCCUCGUGGGGGAUGACGGCCUUCGGGUUGUAAACUCCUUUCACCAUCGACGCGGUAGAUGGAGAAGAAGCACCGGCUAACUACGUGCCAGCAGCCGCGGUAAUAC
rnacentral:rRNA from 1 species